UACAGAGGGCUCAAGCGUUGUUCGGAAUCACUGGGCGUAAAGGGUGCGUAGGUGGCGUGGUAAGUCAGAUGUGAAAGCCCGGGGCUCAACCUCGGAACUGCAUCCGAUACUGCCAUGCUAGAGAACUGAAGAGGAGUGUAGAAUUCUCGGUGUAGCAGUGAAAUGCGUAGAUAUCGAGAGGAAUACCAACGGCGAAGGCAGCACUCUGGGCAGUUUCUGACACUGAGGCACGAAGGCUAGGGGAGCAAACGGG
rnacentral:rRNA from 1 species